CACGUAGGCGGCCCGUCAAGCGUCUUGUGAAAUCCCUCGGCUCAACCGAGGAAUUGCUGGGCGAACUGGCGGGCUUGAGACAGGCAAGGGUGCGUGGAACUCUUGGUGGAGCGGUGAAAUGCGUAGAUAUCAAGAGGAACGCCGGUGGCGAAAGCGAUGCACUGGGCCUGACCUGACGCUGAGGUGCGAAAGCCAGGGUAGCGAACG
rnacentral:rRNA from 1 species